CAUCUCGUCGGCGUAUUUGCAGAACGUAUUCCCGAAUUUGGACCACACUUUGUAGGGAACCGUGAUGGAGUUGCGGUACGUGGGCUUCACCUCGCUUACCCUCAUGAACACGCCGUACUUGUUGGAGCCCACGUCGAAGAAGAAGCGCUUGUUGUCCACAGUCAAUGACGAGCCCUCCGGCAGCUCUGCGGGCUCCUCUUCCACGCCGUAAUCGUCAAUAAGUUUAGCCAAAGCGUCGCGGAACUCAAUAAGUCCCUGGGCCGGGAGUGCGAUGGUCUGGCCCUGCGUGGAUCCCAAACCGGGCCCCCGGUUGACGGUCUGCCGGAUCCUCAAGAACCGCCCCCUCUGGUUCUCUUUCAGGUCCAUGUAAUACUUCCGAUUCUCCCGCACUAGGAACUCGCUUUUGAGCGCCCGCCGCGGCUCAUCCUGCACCAUACCGGGGUUGCUGGGACCCAGCUGGGCGUAGUGUUCGAUGAAGUCCCCCAAGUAGUCGCGGAACUCCACCGCCACCGACAUGGACAGAGUGAGGCGGCUCUUGUUGCCACCGGCCCCGACUUCUGCUAUCUUCAAGAAGCGGCCUUUGGCGUUCUGCUUUACGUCCAAAUAGAAGCGUUUGUUUUGGAUGUCAACUCGCUUGGACGCCAGUUCCUGAGUCUCAUGCUGGAGGCCGGAAGCCGAGCCCGCCCCUCCUGUUGCCAAGUGCAUGGAACCGAAGCCUGGGCCCGUGGCCGCUCCUCCCUGCUCACUUCCACUGUCUCUGUCCGCCAUGAUGCUGCCUGCCUUCUCCCUCAGUCUACCGCAAAGCCUCCUCCAGUCACAGUCGGCGACGCUGCUCUCGCGAGAUCUGCCGAGAGGUAUACAAACAUGAGGGGGAGGGAUUAGCAUUAGCAUCCGCGACGCCGCUUGACAUACGUGGGGAGAACUUUGCCUUUAAAAAUGGCUACCAACACAUUGGCGGCGUGCAGCGAACGAGCCAACGGGACAAGCCGCGCAUGAGGGCCUCUGCUCCGGGAUCGUCUAGUCCAACGCGUCGGUGUGCUGCUGGAGCUCCCUCCCAAAGAUGGACCAGGCAGAAACGGCGAGUCGUGGCACAGAGGAGACCCAGACACUCACCAAGCAGGCGCCGUACGCUCCACCUGUGAUGUCAACACGCACUAGCUGUGAUCUACAGGCUCUGGCUCCCUCUUCUGGUCAUGUGGAAGAACUGCAGCGUCGCUCCUUCUGGACUCACAGGCACGACAACUCACUUUCUUUCAUUAUCCUGGUUCAUUUUACAUCACUUGACAAUUUCUCAGACAACCAAGUACAACAUGAUGUUUUCUUAUCUCAAAGCAAUGAUAUUACAUCACCAGAAGAUCAUUUAAUUUAUUGACAUUAUAUUCUGUAUAUGCAUUUUUGUCCUCUAUGGAUAGAUAAAAUCUCUACAAGCAGGGACAUCCUGAGAUUUCCAGUGAUUUGUCCAAUAAAAUAGAACCUGCCAAAAAUGUCUUUCAUACUGACCAGUAUGACCAAAACGUAAAUGAUCAGUUGAAUAUUUUUAAAGCAGUGAGUAUGAGGUUGUUGAGUUAGUAUUUAAAACAAGAUGCAGACAUGUAUGAGGUGCAACCAGGAAGAAAACGGCUUCUUGCAGUACAACAUAUCCAUGGUAUAAAUGAAAGUAUGUAGCUUGAAAUUGACAAAAUGUGACAAAAAAAGUUAAAAAGCGACUGUUUUCAAUGUUUUUUUUAAUGUCUAAUGUUAAAAUAACUGUAAAAAUAUAGGCAAGGGGACUAUAAACUGCUUAACAUUGUAAAGCUUGUAUAGAUUAAGCAUGAUGGGACAAUGCAUCCUAUUGUUCAUGGCGUGCAGCUCUUGGAAAGUAAAGUUUAUUUUUGUUCAGAA